AUGCGAUGUAGGAGUAUAAAACAAAUAAUGAGAGAGAAUUCUAAAGCGAGAGGAAACAGAAAACUCAACGCUAACCCAAGGGGUUUGGUGGCUUUACCUCAUCGUGACUCUAGAUGGCAGCAUCCGCUCACUUCCCCCAGCUGGGAAACUAGCGCCGGAAGCAGCCUGAAUCCGAGUGAAAUUGAACGUUUUCCAUAUGGGAGAAUCUGCCGGGCGCAAGCAUCUGUUCAAGCCCCACGAGCGCUUAGGAGGGUUCUCCCCACUUCAAUGAACUCACAGAGGCAGACAUCUGACCCCACUUUGGUCCAUUUACUCCAUACAUAUAAGCCAAGGGAUGGGAAGGAACAGAAGGCUCCACUGCGGUGCUGGCUGUGGGUUUACACGUUGCGGAUCCCCAGGGACUGGACCCGGUGCUGUUCUGCAGAAGGCUCGUGA
rnacentral:lncRNA from 1 species